rnacentral:lncRNA from 1 species
UUCAUUAUAUCUGGUGUGCACUAUGUACAAAAGAGUAAUAAACAAGGAAGCUAUUAAGCUGGGAUGUUCUAAAUGAGCAAAAAUCGGCGAGAAAGACAAGGAAAGAGUGACAGAGAGAUUGAAUAUUGUAAUAUGUCAAGGGGGAAGGAGUCAAUAAAAAAAUUAGAGAUCACAAGAGUUAGGAAGCAAGAAAGGUUCUAGAGCACAGGUGUAUGGAUCAAUAUUGAACGACAACAAGGAAGGUGGUAAAGGAUAGGUGUCAACACAGAUGCUGGGCAGGAAACAGCAGAAGAGAAGAAAGUUGAGAUGAAGAAAAAAAUAUGAACGAAGGCAAUGAAGUAAGGGGAAGAUGGAGACAACUUUUAGGGCUUUUACUAUAGGUUCACUGUUUCUAAU